rnacentral:lncRNA from 1 species
AUGAGACUCAUGAAAAAUAUGAAGGUCAUCUUGAAGAUUGGGCUAGCAAGAAUCAUCAAAUCAUUACCUCGUUUCGGAAUACUUCUAUCCCUUCAAUUCAUAUUCAAUUUGCAACUUAUGAUACUGCAAAAGAGAUACGAGAUUUCCUAGCUAACAGGUAUAAAACCACUAGCCUUGCUCACUAUUAUCAAUUGUGGACAACUCUGCAUAAUUUGAAACAAGAUGCUAGGCAGUCUGUGAAUGAUUUCUUGGCUCAAGUACAACCUAUUUGGAACGAACUAUCUCAAGCCAAAAUUAAUGAGGAUCACCUUCAUCUCAUCCAAGUUCUUAUAGCUCUUCGCCCUGAGUAUGAAGCUGUUAAGGCAUCUUUGUUGCAUCGUAAUCCUCUGCCCACGUUGGAUUCUGCCAUCCAAGGGAUUAUCUUUGAGGAAACUCGUCUUGGCCUGGACAAGUCUCUCCAGUCUGAAAUCACUCUUGCCACUACUCAUUCUAGACCAUCCUACCGCAAAUCGGAGACAAAGUUUUGUAAACAUUGUCAUCAAAAUGGCCACUUACUCUCUGAUUGUCCAACUAUUGAGUGUCGAUAUUGCCAUGAAAUGGGUCGUAUAAUUGAGAAUUGUCCUAUUAGACCACCAGACCUAAAGGAGUACUUUCCAAGUCGAAACAUGUCUCUAAGCCUGGAUCUUUUGCUAUUUUUACUGCUACUGCUACUGCUUCUGUCAACUCUACUUCUAUCACUGUGAGUGAUCUGGAGGCCCUACUCAAACAAAUGAUUUCUUCUAAUUCUUCCUCUGCCAUGUUUGUAACUUCAGGUAAAUCUUCUUGGCUUUUUGAUUCCGCUUGUUGUAAUCACAUGACCUCUAGUCUCUCUAUCUUAUCCCCCAACACACCUAUAUCCUAUCUUCCUCCUAUUCACACUACAAAUGGUGAAAAGAUGAACAUCUCUCAUGUUGGACGUGCAUCGACCUCAUAUCUUAGCCUUCCUAAUACCUAGUGUGUUUCUAAUUUGUCCUUAAACCUUAUCUCUGUCGGUCAAUUAUGUGAUCUCGAUCUUACUAUUAUUUUUUCCCCUUUGGUUGUCAAGUAUAAGAUCCACGAAGGGGCCAAAUUCUUGGGACGGGUCGCAAGGUGGGGAAAUUAUUUGAUCUCAUCUCUCUUCGAGUUCCGUUACAAAAUGUGUCAGCUGCUGUAACUUCUAGUUUUUCAUUGUAUCAGUGGCAUCUCUGUCUUGGUCAUGCUUCGACUAGUAAAAUUCGACCUUUAAUUUCUCAUGGACUGUUAGGAUCUACAAAAUUUGAGUCUUUCAAUUGUCUGGAAUGUCAACUUGCAAAACAAUAUGCUUUAUGUUUUAAUAAUAGUACAUUGAAUUUUGAUGUUUCUUUUGACAUUGUCCCUUCUAAUAUUUGGAGACCUUCUCAUAUGCCAUCUAUGAAUGGUUAUCGAUAUUUUAUUUUAUUUAUCGAUGAUUAUUCUCAUUUUACGUGGAUUUAUUUUCUGAUCCAAAGAUCUGAAUUGCCACAAACCUAUAUUAAAUUUGUUAAUAUGAUCAAAACUCAGUUCUCUCACACCAUUAAAACUCUUCAAAUUGACAAUGCUAUGGAAUAUCAAGACUCCUCUCUUCUUUAGUUUCUUUGUCAACAGGGAACUGUGGUUCAACGUUCUUGUCCACACACUUCACAACAAAAUGGUAGAGUUGAACGUAAGCAUCGUCAUAUUCUUGACUAUGUUCGUGCUCUUCUCAUCUCUUCCGCUUGCCCUGAAAAGUUUUGGGGCGAAGCUGCAUUAACUAGUGUAUACACUAUUAAUCGCACCCCAACAAUAAUUCUUAAAAAUCUAUCUCCUUUUGAACGAUUAUUUGAUAAGACCCCUGAUUAUUCUAUUCUGAAACCUUUUUACUGUGUUUGUUUUGUUUUGCUACAACCUCAUGAGAAUAACAAAUUGGAACCUUAUGCCCGUCUAUGCUACUUCUUGGGUUAUGGGAUAGAACAUAAAGGUUAUCGUUGUUGGGAUCCUAUUUCUAAUAGGUUGCGUAUCUCUAGACAUGUCACCUUUUGGGAACAAACCUUGUUUUCCUCAUUAUCCAAAUUUCACUCUAACUUUACUACUCCCUCUCAAUUCUUUACGAAUUUAUCAGUCGAUCUUUUUCCUACUAAUGACACAGUUAUUUCCAGAGAACUCAAUUAUAAUCUUUCUCCUGUGACUGCUUCUAUUGAGACUGGUCCGAUUGCUGAGACUGUACCAAAUGUCUCUCCUUGUCGUUCUACUUGAGCAAGAGAAAUACUUCAUCAUCUUCAUGAUUAUCAUUGUUUUUCUGCUAUUGUAACCUUGCAUGAGCCUCUUUCUUUUCGUGAAGCUAGUAGCGAUCCUCUUUGGUAGCAAGCCAUGAAUGAAAAACUUCAAGCUUUAGGGAAAACUCGUACUUGGGAUUUGGUUGAUCUUCCUCAUGGCAAAACUCCUAUCAGAUGUAAAUGGGUUUAUAAAAUAAAAACACGUUCAGGUAGAUCUGCUAAGCGUUAGAAAGAGCUUUUAGUGGC